rnacentral:rRNA from 1 species
GACGAACGCUGGCGGCGUGCUUAACACAUGCAAGUCGAACGAAGAGCGAUGGAAGCUUGCUUCUAUCAAUCUUAGUGGCGAACGGGUGAGUAACGCGUAAUCAACCUGCCCUUCAGAGGGGGACAACAGUUGGAAACGACUGCUAAUACCGCAUACGAUCUAAUCUCGGCAUCGAGGAUAGAUGAAAGGUGGCCUCUACAGGUAAGCUAUCACUGAAGGAAGGGAUUGCGUCUGAUUAGCUAGUUGGAGGGGUAACGGCCCACCAAGGCGAUGAUCAGUAGCCGGUCUGAGAGGAUGAACGGCCACAUUGGGACUGAGACACGGCCCAGACUCCUACGGGAGGCAGCAGUGGGGAAUCUUCCGCAAUGGACGAAAGUCUGACGGAGCAACGCCGCGUGAGUGAUGACGGCCUUCGGGUUGUAAAGCUCUGUUAAUCGGGACGAAAGGCCUUCUUGCGAAUAGUGAGAAGGAUUGACGGUACCGGAAUAGAAAGCCACGGCUAACUACG